rnacentral:rRNA from 1 species
CAACAGGGAUUGCCUCAGUAACGGCGAGUGAAGCGGCAACAGCUCAAAUUUGAAAUCUGGCGCAAGCCCGAGUUGUAAUUUGUAGAGGAUGCUUCUGGGCAGCGGCCGGUCUAAGUUCCUUGGAACAGGACGUCACAGAGGGUGAGAAUCCCGUAUGUGAUCGGCGCGCACCCUCCACGUAGCUCCUUCGACGAGUCGAGUUGUUUGGGAAUGCAGCUCUAAAUGGGAGGUAAAUUUCUUCUAAAGCUAAAUACCGGCCAGAGACCGAUAGCGCACAAGUAGAGUGAUCGAAAGAUGAAAAGCACUUUGGAAAGAGAGUUAAAAAGCACGUGAAAUUGUUGAAAGGGAAGCGCUUCCAACCAGACUUGUCGGCGGUGUUCCCCCGGUCUUCUGACCGGGUCACUCACCGCCAGCAGGCCAGCAUCGUCUGGGGCCGCCGGAGAAACCGUCAGGAAUGUAGCUCCCUCGGGAGUGUUAUAGCCUGGCGACAUGCGGCGCGCCCCGGGCGAGGUCCGCGCAUUGCAAGGAUGCUGGCGUAAUGGUUGGCAGCGGCCCGUCUUGAAACACGGACCAAGGAGUCUAACAUCUAUGCGAGUGUUCGGGUGUCAAACCCCUACGCGUAAUGAAAGUGAACGGAGGUGGGAGCUUCGGCGCACCAUCGACCGAUCCUGAUGUCCUCGGAUGGAUUUGAGUAAGAGCAUAGCUGUUGGGACCCGAAAGAUGGUGAACUAUGCCUGAAUAGGGUGAAGCCAGAGGAAACUCUGGUGGAGGCUCGCAGCGGUUCUGACGUGCAAAUCGAUCGUCAAAUUUGGGUAUAGGGGCGAAAG